GAAAUGCGAUAAGUAGUGUGAAUUGCAGAAUUCAGUGAAUCAUCGAAUCUUUGAACGCACAUUGCGCCCCUUGGUAUUCCAUGGGGCAUGCCUGUUCGAGCGUCAUUUGUACCUUCAAGCUUUGCUUGGUGUUGGGUGUUUGUCUCGCCUCAAAACAAUUGGCAGCCGGCAUAUUGGUAUCGGAGCGCAGCACAAGUCGCACUUUGUUCCAUGAAUGUUGGCAUCCAUCAAGACCAUUUUUUCACUCUUGACCUCGGAUCAGGUAGGGAUACCCGCUGAACUUAA
rnacentral:misc_RNA from 1 species